UACGGGGGGUGCAAGCGUUGUCCGGAAUCAUUGGGCGUAAAGAGUUCGUAGGUGGUAUGUUAAGUCUGGUGUUAAAUCCUGAAGCUCAACUUCAGUUCGGCACUGGAUACUGGCAAACUUGAAUGCGGUAGAGGUAAAGGGAAUUCCUGGUGUAGCGGUGAAAUGCGUAGAUAUCAGGAGGAACAUCGGUGGCGUAAGCGCUUUACUGGGCCGUAAUUGACACUGAGGAACGAAAGCCGGGGUAGCAAAUGGG
rnacentral:rRNA from 1 species